GUAGCAGUGUCCCCUUGCUGGUGCUAGUAUUAUAGUGGCUAAUGUUACGCGUCCUGACCCUGUGGCUGUGUUCCUUAAAUUAAAUGUGCAUUUCGUGAUUUUCUCCCGCGACAUUCCCUACCGAAAGCAACGAUGAAAAGCAUCCCUUCAAGUAGAACUGGACCUUUUUCAGCAAACCGCUGGUGUGUGGUGAGUUUAAGCAAGUUACAUUCCAGAUGCUGUUAGGAGAAACUGUUAGAGACAUCGAAGAAACGUUCGUUGUUACGGUCGAGAUGAAGUACAAACGACACGCUCAACACGAUCCUCUGCUGAUACCAUCCAUCUGCUGGGAGCAUCCUUCCAUUCAUACGGAGAGGGGAAUAAGUAGAACUGAAUGUAUUAGAAACCGUAAAUGGAAUUUACUGAUUCACGGUACACACCACACGUGUACGUAAUCGUCUGCAAACCCAAAAAACCCACAUUCGUCCACCAUCUGUAACGUGUAACAAUCCUCGAACGCUUUAAAAGUAUCCAAAAUAGUAUAGUAUAACUAGUAUUGUGCGAGCUAAUUGCGAAACCAUAUCGGUAUGGUAGUGUGCUGUGAACGAGACCCUCCUCUCACCAUUUUCCCGACCACUCUUUUUGUCCUUACAAUCCCUUCUCCUCUAACCCUCCCUCUAGACGGUAGUAUAUUUUAAGAUAGCAACAGGAAACAUAACCGCACAAAACUAAACAAAAAAAACUAAUCCUAAUGACGAUUUCUGAAGCAAAGCCCAGCUGUGAAGGGAUAGGUUAUUCCACCUCAACUAUUAAAUGCUUUAAAAACACACAUCAAAACAUUCCUCAACUCCGUAAAACUAUGGGCGGAAAACAAAACAAAAAAACCCUAGAAAGAUACUUCACCACAAAACUCGACAUCAAACCCCAUUCAGAAGCAUAUCAAGCGUGUGAGGAAUAAAUUAUCCUUACAGCAUUCGGGCACGAUAUUUUAUAGCACAAAGCUAGUAUAUGUGAGAGGCAUUCCCUUGUAAACCUUCCAACCUUAUACCCAGAUCGUAUUACCGUUAUGAAAGGAAAACUCAGAACUAAGAGCUUCUACCGAGGAUCAAAUGAUCGUCAUAAUUCCGCAUGGGAAACAGAUACAUACAUCCAACCUCUCCCCGUAUUUUCAGGUCGCCUAGCAAACGAACAAUCUAGUAAAAUAAUUAUGAAUAUACACGUUAGGAGAAAGUAAACGGUCCCUUUCCCAUUAUCCUCGACUCGGGAUGGGGUUUGGUUGUUGUUUUACACUUUCAGUCAGGAAAGCACAGCACCUUGUAAUGGAAGGUUUUAGACUCCCGGCGAAUCAUUUGUGCAAAACGAACGAUCAGCCAAAGGUUUUUGUGCUUCAAGUAGUUUGAAUGUAGUUUGUAUGUAUGCUGAUACGUAAAAGUAGUAGUUUUGUACAGAACGUGUACGUGCGCCACCGAACAAACACGGGGUUUGACGCUGGCACUAUAAGUUAGAUUGUAAAACUAUCCAUCCAAAUCAUCCCUGCUGCAAAACAAAAAAAAACAGCUCAAAACCAACCAACCAAGCACCAAGCAGAAUGAUGAUGAUGAGUUUAAGCAGGGCAGUGGAAAUGAAACAUAUCGCAAAAUCCUGGUUAGUUUGUUCUUGUCGUCUUCUUUGGCAAACGACGUUUUCGAUGCAAUGCGAUUUUUGUAUACAGCUCGCUGCUUCCUUACCAUACCGUACAACCCUCAACCUGCCCAGUGUACCGUGUGCGGGCCAUUUGAACGUAAAUCCAAUGCAAAUCCCCCCAUUUUGCACCCAUCGUCGUCACCCAGUGCUGUGCUAUUCCUAUGGCAAAGCGAAGACAAAUAAAGGUAUGUGAUUUGUGUAAAGUUUA